CUUGGUGGCUAGAGCGAGGCGGUACCACCCGUUCCCAUCCCGAACACGGAAGUGAAACGCCUCAGCGCAGACGAUACUGGAGGGGCAACCUUCUGCGGAAAAUAUGCCGCCGCCAAGG
rnacentral:rRNA from 1 species